rnacentral:rRNA from 1 species
GGGGGGUGCGAGCGUUGUCCGGAAUCACUGGGCGUAAAGGGCGCGUAGGUGGCGUGAUAAGGGUGUGGUGAAAGCCCGGGGCUCAACCCCGGGUCUGCCAUGCCGACUGUCAGGCUGGAGUACUGUAGGGGCAGGCGGAAUUCCGGGUGUAGCGGUGGAAUGCGUAGAGAUCCGGAGGAAGACCGGUGGCGAAGGCGGCCUGCUGGGCAGUUACUGACACUGAUGCGCGACAGCGUGGGGAGCAAACAGGAUUAGAUACCCUGGUAGUCCACGCCGUAAACGAUGGGUACUAGGUGCCUGGGGGAGCGACCCCUUGGGUGCCGGCGCUAACGCANGAAGUACCCCGCCUGGGGAGUACGGCCGCAAGGNUG